GGCGGCGGCGGCCGAGGAAGGGGGGGGCGCCGGGCCGCGGCGGGGCCCAAAGUUGUCGUCGCGGCGGGCGGCGCGGAGCGGAGCGCGGAGGGGCCGCGGCAGGCGCAGAGCGGCGGCGGCAGCGGCUCCGGCCCCGCGGCGAGCGGCUCCGGCCCGGGUGGGGACACGGUGACGCGGCGGCGGCGGCGGCGGCGGCGGGGGCCGAGGGGGGGGAGCAUGUCCCCUCCUUGAGCCGCCUCGGGCCGGCUCCCCCACCCUCUGCCUGACCCUGCCCGCUCCUCCCCUCCCUCUCGACCCUCGCCAUCUCCCCCCCGCCCCAAGCACACACAACAACCUCCCGCCCCGGGGCCGAGGAGGACUCGCCUCAGCGCAACCGGCACCGGGGGCAAAGAUGUCGGCAAAGUGGCGGGUACUGGACGAGCCCGGCAAAACCAUAAACCAAAACCAUGAUUCUCUGAGCCACCACCACCCACCACCUUCCCAGGCGUAAGCCACAACCCCCGCCCCGGGCCCGGAGUCAGGCUCAGCAAUUGGCUCAGUCGUUUGUCGAGGACAGACAGACAGACAGACACACACAAGAUGGCUCAGGCGAGCCUCCUGGCCUGCGAGGGCCUGUCCGGCGUCUGCCUCGUGCCCACCGUGGCCAGCAAGAAGAUGAUGCCCAAGGCGGGCUCCAAGGCGGGCGAGGGCCGGGAGCGGGGCGGCAGCCCCGACGCGCUGGCUCUCCGGCAGGACCCCGACAAGCCCCGCAGCCGCAAGGAUGAGGAGGCG